rnacentral:rRNA from 1 species
UACGUAGGGGGCUAGCGUUGUCCGGAAUCAUUGGGCGUAAAGAGCGUGUAGGCGGCUUGGUAAGUCCGCUGUGAAAGUCCAGGGCUCAACCCUGGAAAGCCGGUGGAUACUGUCGGGCUAGAGUCCGGAAGAGGCGAGUGGAAUUCCUGGUGUAGCGGUGGAAUGCGCAGAUAUCAGGAGGAACACCGAUGGCGAAGGCAGCUCGCUGGGACGGUACUGACGCUGAGGCGCGAAAGCGUGGGGAGCGAACAGG